rnacentral:rRNA from 1 species
AGUGAACGCUGGCGGUAGGCCUAACACAUGCAAGUCGAACGGCAGCACAGUAAGAGCUUGCUCUUACGGGUGGCGAGUGGCGGACGGGUGAGGAAUACAUCGGAAUCUACUUUUUCGUGGGGGAUAACGUAGGGAAACUUACGCUAAUACCGCAUACGACCUACGGGUGAAAGCAGGGGAUCUUCGGACCUUGCGCGAUUGAAUGAGCCGAUGUCGGAUUAGCUAGUUGGCGGGGUAAAGGCCCACCAAGGCGACGAUCCGUAGCUGGUCUGAGAGGAUGAUCAGCCACACUGGAACUGAGACACGGUCCAGACUCCUACGGGAGGCGGCAGUGGGGAAUAUUGGACAAUGGGCGCAAGCCUGAUCCAGCCAUACCGCGUGGGUGAAGAAGGCCUUCGGGUUGUAAAGCCCUUUUGUUGGGAAAGAAAAGCAGCAGGUUAAUACCCCGCUGUUCUGACGGUACCCAAAGAAUAAGCACCGGCUAACCUCGUG